UACGUAGGGGGCAAGCGUUGUCCGGAUUUACUGGGCGUAAAGCGUGCGUAGGCGGUUCUCCAAGUCCGUUGUGAAAGCCCCGGGCUCAACCUGGGAAUGGCAGUGGAAACUAGGGGACUGGAAUCUGGCAGAGGGGGGUGGAAUGCCGCGUGUAGCAGUGAAAUGCGUAGAGAUGCGGCGGAACACCGAUGGCGAAGGCAGCCCCCUGGGCUGAGAUUGACGCUCAGGCACGAAAGCGUGGGGAGCAAACAGG
rnacentral:rRNA from 1 species